ACUACCAAAUCAGUAUAGAAAGAUGCAUACCCUCAAGAGAAUCUGCUUGUUGUGGUUUCUGAUUUACAUAGAUGAUGAGAUUGGCCCCAUGUCUGAAAAACAGUAUGUGGGGAAGGCCUGGAGAAGCAAUUGAACUGAAACAAAGUCAAAAGUGGGAAGUCCCCCUCUGGCAAGCAGCUCUAAGAUGACAGAGCCGGUGCCAGAAUCUAAACCUUGGGACUCUGGUUGCUGUAUAAAAAAAUAAAU
rnacentral:lncRNA from 1 species